GGGGGAUAACGUUCGGAAACGGACGCUAAUACCGCAUACGUCCUACGGGAGAAAGCAGGGGACCUUCGGGCCUUGCGCUAUCAGAUGAGCCUAGGUCGGAUUAGCUAGUUGGUGGGGUAAUGGCUCACCAAGGCGACGAUCCGUAACUGGUCUGAGAGGAUGAUCAGUCACACUGGAACUGAGACACGGUCCAGACUCCUACGGGAGGCAGCAGUGGGGAAUAUUGGACAAUGGGCGAAAGCCUGAUCCAGCCAUGCCGCGUGUGUGAAGAAGGUCUUCGGAUUGUAAAGCACUUUAAGUUGGGAGGAAGGGCAGUUACUUAAUACUUUGCUGUUUUGACGUUACCGACAGAAUAAGCACCGGCUAACUCUGUGCCAGCAGCCGCGGUAA
rnacentral:rRNA from 1 species